GGGCUUGGCUGUUGUGGAUUUCGAGCAUCGGUCUACGGCACCGAAGGUUAUAGGUUCAAAUCCUAUCGGGUCUA
rnacentral:tRNA from 1 species